rnacentral:rRNA from 1 species
GACGAACGCUGGCGGCGUGCCUAUCACAUGCAAGUCAACUUGACUGAAGGAGCAAUCUGGACAGUAGAGUGGCGCAAGGGUGCGUAACGCGUAAGUAACUUGCCCCAAGGUAAGGAAUAACGUCGAGAAAUCGGCGCUAAUACCUCAUAAUGCAGCGGAUCCGCAUGGAUAUGUUGUAAAGGUUUACCGCCUUGGGAUAGGCUUGCGUCUGAUUAGUUAGUUGGUGUGGUAACGGCACACCAAGGCUACGAUCAGUAACUGGUCUGAGAGGAUGAUCAGUCACACUGGAACUGAGACACGGUCCAGACUCCUACGGGAGGCAGCAGUGAGGAAUAUUGGGCAAUGCUCGAAAGAGUGACCCAGCAACGCCGCGUCGGAGGAUGAAGGUAUUCUAUAUCGUAAACUCCUGUGAGAGCAGA